rnacentral:pre_miRNA from 1 species
CUACUACUCCCUCCGUCCGAAAAUACUUGUCAUUGAAAUGGAUGUAUCUAGAUGUAUUUUAGUUCUAGACACAUCCAUUUUGAUGACAAGUAAUUCCGGAUGGAGGGAGUAUUNN